CUGAACAAAAACCAGUCAGUUGUGUCCACAUAACAACCCUGUGACGUUCCAUCAUUCCACUCUGCAGAGAGUAAGACUGAGGUCCAGUAUUGCACCUAAAUUCACAUACCUCAAAGCUGCCUGGCCCAGGUUCUACCCAGCCAUAGUUGGGCUUCUACUGAAACAUGAUAAAGAAGAUUCUCUCUCCAUUCAGAUUACUGAGAAGUCAGUGCUGCCAGCAGCCACGAAGCCACUACAGGAAGAGCUCAUCUGAACAAAUGUAACAGCCAAGGAGAACAGAGCCCACAGCGCAAGGGGGCAAGACAGAGUCACGGCAGCGUGACCCCCUAAAUCCAGCCAUGCUUACUUUUCUAGGGAAAAAAGAAGACAUCUGAAAGAACCAUGAUGACAGAAACAUUGGAACAAGAUUAUGCAUGUGAGCAAAGAAGAUAUGGGAAGUGUGCAGGCCCCUGUUCCUUGCUGCCUGGGUCACACCUAGCAUCUGGCAGUGCCCAUGGAGUACAAAAUUCUGAUGGACAGCUACAGAGCAGGUGUUCCUCAAACGUGCCUGGCUAUGUUAGGCUGUUUUGUACUGUGGUCAUCAGAUGACAGACUAAAAUUAAGGAGCUAAAGGUAAGAGUGCCCUGUGGAAGCUCUCCAAUCUUCAGCUCUAUCAGUAACAAGACAUGGUACCACUCACCUUCUCCUAAAAUAGUGAUACUGCUCACAUCAACAUAAAAUCAGCCUGAAUAAAUAAGCAGUAUUCCAGGGAUCAUGACUGCCUCAUUCUGACGUCAAACUCCUCAUGGAACUUUCCAAACAUGCCUUCACACAUCUCAAUGGUCCCAUUACUAUUGAGCUCCAAACCCAAACCACAGAAGCUCAUUUGCCAAAGACCCAGAUGGCCUCCAUACCUGAUACUAGGCCACAAGAUGAUUUCAUAUAAAUAUGGCCUCUUCAUCAUGAUAUAAUUCCUCCUGGCAACAAACCCUCCUUCACCCUCAUCUCUGGGAUAAUUCUCUCAUGCUCCAGUGAAGUCUGAGAAAUUCCUUGGCUGAAUUUUACACCAUCUUUUGGGAAUAUAUGUCAUGGAUCUAUGGCAUGAGUGCUGAAGCCAAGGCUGGUAUACAGAAAGCAUCUAAUAAACACUGCGACCGUCAGUAUCACCUUGCCUUAUCUUGGGAAUGCUUUCUCUACUAGGCCUCAAAUGAUCCCCAUGGACUACCUAUUUUCUAGAAACCUUUUUCUAUAAUUUGUUAGGGGCACAUUGUGAUUUUUUCCCCUGGGGAAAGCUCCUCUGUGUUUUCUA